AGCAACUGCUUUACUGAUAAGGGUUAAACUGCUGCAUGACUGUGAAAUGCUAUGCUACAUUAAGCAACUGAAUGAAGUUCAUGGCAGUAGCUUCAGCAGUACCUGGGUUGCAUUGCUGCUAAAAGUUGUGAAUGGUGGAAUAUCUAUGAAUUUUACAGGACAUGACUAGCCAAGCGGGCCGCUGCAGCUCACUCACCCUUGGUAUGGUGAAAACAGAUUGGAGUACUGUUGCCAGACAUUCAAACAACAAAGCUAGUAGGCAGGGCUUUUGCAUCUCUCAUCUUGGUCGUGCUCAACUCUAAGACUGAGUGAUCUCCUGGUUUUCUCUCCUCCAGUUACCUUGUAUUCCCUAUCCUAAGUGUAAUAGCCAUCAGAAAUAUAAUUUCUGAAAAAAGGCAAGAAUAAACCAAGAUCUUCUUACUAUGGCAUAGAAUGUCCUCUCCAGGAAAAUGCAGUGGUGCUGGAAAUAGCUCCUAUAGAAACAAAGGUGGCAUUUGGAGUGCUUUCAUAGGCUGAUAAAACAGCUUAUGGAGAAGAGCUACAUGCCUGUUCAUGCCCAGUCUUGUGCUUUGACCAGAAGACCAUACCUCCUCUCUCCUCCUGUCCAAAAGAACAGCCUCCAUCUCCUGCCACUAUCUCCUGUAACCCAUUUCCCCAGAAUUUCUGAGUCUGUUUACUCUCUGAUCCCUGCCUACUAGUGAUGCUGCUGACAAAUCCCAGGAGAUUUGGAGUUCUGUGCUCACUGGGACUGACAGGAACAUCAUCUCCCAAGGUACGCUAACACUGUCUCUGGUGGACCAGGCAAAGGGUGGAUAAUAAAAAGAAUCAGAAGACCUAGGGACACUGGCAGUGCAGUAGACCGCACAAAUAAACACAGCUGAGCAGCUUGAAAAAGGAUUUUCUAGUAAUUGUUUAACAUUUAUCCUGGAAGGGAAAAAAAUCAAGCUUGGGUUGACAACUGCAAUGAACUGGAAGGCAUCUUAGCACCUUGCUUCCAUUCAGUCUGGAAGGGCAUCUGCCACGGAGAAAGGAUCAUGGCUGGCAGCCAUGCACUGAGCCUGGGCACCUCACCUCUGGAUCACAAGCAGGAAUGUGGGAACCUGUCAGGUUUCUUCCAGGUUUGGGGUUUCUCUCUCUACAAAAGUUGCCCAAAACCCUAACUGAGAGCCAUGUAGUCAUUGCCAUAUUGGAAUGUCAUUGUGGCAGUGAUAUACACAGCUGUCAAGCCAUGGGGCUGGCUGCUUUUGUCCAUUAGGAGAAGAAAGAAAGAUACAAUUUAAUCCAACAGGUCUCAUCAUGUGAGUCAUAACCCUUAAUCCAGCAGCUGUAUAAGGGUAAUAGGCCUGCUCCUGUUCCCUGUAGCUGCUUUUCUGAUGAGCAAGAUAUGCUGCAUUAGUUAUGGUAGAAUGUUGAUUAGUGGGGUCUCCUCAGCAAUAGCCUCAGUCACUAGAGUUGCACUGUUUAGCAGUGAUGUUGGGGGAGAGAGGGACAGUCGUGAAGAGAAAAAGGUCUGCAGUAAAGUAGGGGCAUGAAGGGGAUGAGGUGGCUUUUGAAGAUGAAGCCUGGAGAAGAGAAACUGAGGGUGAGGGGAGUCUGACAAUACAAAAAUGAUGUGGACAAGGCAGAAGAGCAAUAGGAGUUGACAAUAAAGAGACACCCUGGUAGCUAGUUGUGUGUUUGGGCAGGGGGGAGGGGAGGAACUGGCAUUAGAGGAUGAAAAUUGGGGGGAGAUGGGCAGAGAGAAAGAAAGAUUAGGAGAAUUGACACCAUAGAGAGGACAGACAACUAGCAGUAGAAAGAAAGAGAGAGAGAACAAAAAAUCCAGAAAAUGCAAAAAGAGAGAGAGAGAGGAGAGACUGGACUGGACUGUAGGAAUGGAAAGAAGGGUUGAGAGAAGAGGAACAGAAAAGGCAGAGAGUGUUGCUAAGGUAACCCCAAGAGACCUGUCAGUGAUCUGUGAGUCUGAGAGGUAUUUUUCAAAGAUUAUGAGAAAAUGAACCACUGGUUAAAGAGACCCUAUGUAGCAGCAUCAUAGAAACAGCACUUCUUUAUUCAAGCCAUUCUUGCAAUGUUUUUCCUUUCUUCUUUGAUAAUUAUGGUGGAGUCAUUUUAUAUUUUGGCAUGUCAGCAGAGAGACUGCUUUUAUUUGCACAGCCAACAGCACAUGAGGCACGUGACGGAUAGGGCCCCGGCUCUGACGACCUCACAAUCUAUAGGAGUGUGGGCAUGGAGGGGGGAGAAGAGAAUGGGGGAAGUGAUGAUAAAAGUGUGAAUGGUGAGAGAGAAGAGAGCACACAGUUUAGUAGUUCCAUAAAUUUUGUUUGAA